AGAGUUUGAUCAUGGCUCAGAUUGAACGCUGGCGGCAGGCCUAACACAUGCAAGUCGAACGGUAACAGGAAGAAGCUUGCUUCUUUGCUGACGAGUGGCGGACGGGUGAGUAAUGUCUGGGAAACUGCCUGAUGGAGGGGGAUAACUACUGGAAACGGUAGCUAAUACCGCAUAACGUCGCAAGACCAAAGAGGGGGACCUUCGGGCCUCUUGCCAUCGGAUGUGCCCAGAUGGGAUUAGCUUGUUGGUGGGGUAACGGCUCACCAAGGCGACGAUCCCUAGCUGGUCUGAGAGGAUGACCAGCCACACUGGAACUGAGACACGGUCCAGACUCCUACGGGAGGCAGCAGUGGGGAAUAUUGCACAAUGGGCGCAAGCCUGAUGCAGCCAUGCCGCGUGUAUGAAGAAGGCCUUCGGGUUGUAAAGUACUUUCAGCGGGGAGGAAGGGAGUAAAGUUAAUACCUUUGCUCAUUGACGUUACCCGCAGAAGAAGCACCGGCUAACUCCGUGCCAGCAGCCGCGGUAAUACGGAGGGUGCAAGCGUUAAUCGGAAUUACUGGGCGUAAAGCGCACGCAGGCGGUUUGUUAAGUCAGAUGUGAAAUCCCCGGGCUCAACCUGGGAACUGCAUCUGAUACUGGCAAGCUUGAGUCUCGUAGAGGGGGGUAGAAUUCCAGGUGUAGCGGUGAAAUGCGUAGAGAUCUGGAGGAAUACCGGUGGCGAAGGCGGCCCCCUGGACGAAGACUGACGCUCAGGUGCGAAAGCGUGGGGAGCAAACAGGAUUAGAUACCCUGGUAGUCCACGCCGUAAACGAUGUCGACUUGGAGGUUGUGCCCUUGAGGCGUGGCUUCCGGAGCUAACGCGUUAAGUCGACCGCCUGGGGAGUACGGCCGCAAGGUUAAAACUCAAAUGAAUUGACGGGGGCCCGCACAAGCGGUGGAGCAUGUGGUUUAAUUCGAUGCAACGCGAAGAACCUUACCUGGUUUUGACAUCCACAGAACUUUCCAGAGAUGGAUUGGUGCCUUCGGGAACUGUGAGACAGGUGCUGCAUGGCUGUCGUCAGCUCGUGUUGUGAAAUGUUGGGUUAAGUCCCGCAACGAGCGCAACCCUUAUCCUUUGUUGCCAGCGGUCCGGCCGGGAACUCAAAGGAGACUGCCAGUGAUAAACUGGAGGAAGGUGGGGAUGACGUCAAGUCAUCAUGGCCCUUACGACCAGGGCUACACACGUGCUACAAUGGCGCAUACAAAGAGAAGCGACCUCGCGAGAGCAAGCGGACCUCAUAAAGUGCGUCGUAGUCCGGAUUGGAGUCUGCAACUCGACUCCAUGAAGUCGGAAUCGCUAGUAAUCGUGGAUCAGAAUGCCACGGUGAAUACGUUCCCGGGCCUUGUACACACCGCCCGUCACACCAUGGGAGUGGGUUGCAAAAGAAGUAGGUAGCUUAACCUUCGGGAGGGCGCUUACCACUUUGUGAUUCAUGACUGGGGUGAAGUCGUAACAAGGUAACCGUAGGGGAACCUGCGGUUG
rnacentral:rRNA from 1 species